rnacentral:rRNA from 1 species
CGGCAGCUAUAAUGCAGUCGACGGUAGACUGAACUUCGGUUUAGUUGAGAGUGGCGCACGGGUGCGUAACGCGUAUGCAACCUACCCUUAACAGGGGGAUAGCCCGGAGAAAUCCGGAUUAAUACCCCAUAGUAUUUACAGAUGGCAUCUGAAGUAAAUUAAAGAUUUAUCGGUUAAGGAUGGGCAUGCGUGACAUUAGAUAGUUGGUGAGGUAACGGCUCACCAAGUCUACGAUGUCUAGGGGUUCUGAGAGGAUGAUCCCCCACACUGGUACUGAGAUACGGACCAGACUCCUACGGGAGGCAGCAGUAGGGAAUAUUGGUCAAUGGGCGAGAGCCUGAACCAGCCAUGCCGCGUGCAGGAAGACGGCCUUCUGGGUUGUAAACUGCUUUUAUAUGGGAAGAAAAAGGCCAUG